UAAGUUGACAUAGUCCCAAGGUUGGCGCCCGAUAAGUCUUGAGGCUGUGUACGCUUAC
rnacentral:pre_miRNA from 1 species